GCAAGUCGAGGGGUAACAGGGGAGCUUGCUUCCGCUGACGACCGGCGCACGGGUGCGUAACGCGUAUACAAUUUGCCUUAUACAGAGGGAUAGCCUUUAGAAAUGAAGAUUAAUACCUCAUGGUCUAUUAGAAUCGCAUGGUUUUAAUAGUAAAGAUUUAUCGGUAUAAGAUGAGUAUGCGUUCUAUUAGCUAGUAGGUAAGGUAACGGCUUACCUAGGCGACGAUAGAUAGGGGUCCUGAGAGGGAGAUC
rnacentral:rRNA from 1 species